rnacentral:rRNA from 1 species
UGAGGAAUAUUGGACAAUGGGGGAAACCCUGAUCCAGCAAUGUCGCGUGAACGAUGAAGGCCUUCGGGUUGUAAAGUUCUUUCACUCAUGAAGAUAAUGACGGUAAUGAGAGAAGAAGCUCCGGCUAACUCUGUGCCAGCAGCCGCGGUAAUACAGAGGGAGCAAGCGUUGUUCGGAAUGACUGGGCGUAAAGGGUGCGUAGGUGGUUUCCUAAGCAAGGUGUUAAAGCCCUGGGCUCAACCCAGGAAUCGCGCUUUGAACUGGGAAACUCGAGUGCGAGAGAGGAAAGUGGAAUUCAUAGUGUAGAGGUGAAAUUCGUAGAUAUUAUGAGGAAUACCAAAAGCGAAGGCAGCUUUCUGGCUCGUUACUGACGCUGAGGCACGAAAGCGUGGGGAGCAAACAGG